GAUGAAGAACGCAGCGAAAUGCGAUACGUAAUGUGAAUUGCAGAAUUCAGUGAAUCAUCGAAUCUUUGAACGCAUAUUGCGCUCUCUGGUAUUCCGGAGAGCAUGCUUGUUUGAGUAUCAGUAAACACCUCAACUCCUUUUUCUUUUUUGAAAUUGGAGCUGGACUUGAGUGAUCCCAACGCUUUCUUCCAAGAAAGUGGCGGGUUGCUUGAAAUGCAGGUGCAGCUGAACUUUUCUCUGAGCUAUAAGCAUAUCUAUUUAGUCUGCCUAAAAAACAGAUUAUUACCUUUGCUGCAGCUAACAUAAAGGAGACUAGUUCUUGUGCUGACUGAUGCAGGAUUCACAGAGACAGCUUCGGCUGACUUUGUAAACUCGAUCUCAAAUCAAGUAAGACUACCCGCUGAACUUAAGCAUAUCAAUAAGCGGAGGA
rnacentral:misc_RNA from 1 species